rnacentral:rRNA from 1 species
GAUGAACGCUGGCGGCGUGCCUAAUACAUGCAAGUCGAGCGAGCAGACGAGGAGCUUGCUCCUCUGACGUUAGCGGCGGACGGGUGAGUAACACGUGGAUAACCUACCUAUAAGACUGGGAUAACUUCGGGAAACCGGAGCUAAUAGCGGAAAAUAUAUUGAACCGCAUGGUUCAAUAGUGAAAGACGGUCUUGCUGUCACUUAAAGAUGGAUCCGGGCCGCAUUAGCUGGUUGGGUAGGUAAGGGUUUACCAAGGCAACGAUGCGUAGCCGACCUGAGAGAGUGAUAGUCGACGCUGGAAGUGGAACACGAGCCAGACUCGUACGGAGGGACGCAGUAGGGACCCUUCCGCAACAGGAGAAAGCUAUACGCAGCAACGCCGGGAAGGUUGUGAAGGCAUUGGGGUCGGGAAACUCUGGUAUUAGGGAAGAACAAAUUUUUAAGUAACUAAACACGUAUUGACGGUACCUAAUCAGAAAGCCACGGCUAACUACGUG